rnacentral:lncRNA from 1 species
UAAGAAGUCAUUCGCCGGAUCAUGCACAUUUUUCUAGUUAUAACAAAAAAAGUGCAGUUGGGUGGAUCCAAUCUAUUCUUUGAAAUAAACAACUAAAAACACCUUUUUUCCUAUUUUUCAUCAUAAAGAGAAUUCAAGUCAUUUUAUCGACAUGAGUGUUCUAUAUCGAAAAAAUUCUAAUUUCCCUAUUAACAUAGUGGUAGAAAGAAUACUAGACUGCGUAGAAACUUCAAACUCGUUAGCUUUAACCAUAGUAAUGUUCCAAAAUUCUUGGUUGAUAGAGAAUCAAAGUAGAUUUACCAAUGAAUCGCGAAAUGCUAUGGUUCUUAACUACUUUUUUCGUUAUUUAGUGAGAAGUCAUUCGCCGGAUCAUGCACAUUUUUCUAGUUAUAACAAAAAAAGUGCAGUUGGGUGGAUCCAAUCUAUUCUUUGAAAUAAACAACUCGCACACACUCCCUUUCCAAAAAAAAUCAAUACACCAAGCACUGCACUUAGAUUUAUUAGAUUUGUUGCUAAAAUAUCGGUAUCAAACCCGAAACUUCCGUCGGUUAUAUUUUGCAUAUGAUCGCAUCUCCUCUUAUGGAUAGACUAAUUUUCUUUCUACGAUUCCAAGUUUUUUUUAUUCGUUUUUGUAUAUGAUAGUUUAUUCUAUAAUCGAAUUAUUGAAUAUGAAUAUAUCGACUUAUUCUAUUUUUAUUCUUACUAAUAAUGAAAAGUAGUAAGAAUAAAAAUAUACUAAGAAGACUAUUCUAUAUUUUGAAUUGGUUAGUCAAUUGAAAGAUUCCCUAUAAGAAUUAUACUUCUUAGAAGUAAAUACUUAGUUGUUUUCAACACUUUCUAAAUA